rnacentral:misc_RNA from 1 species
GGACUACAAGGGUAUCUAAUCCUGUUUGAUCCCCACGCUUUCGUACUUCAGUGUCAGUUAUGGUUUAGUAAGCUGCCUUCGCAAUCGGAGUUCUGCGUGAUAUCUAUGCAUUUCACCGCUACACCACGCAUUCCGCCUACCUCAAACACACUCAAGUCUUCCAGUUUCAACGGCAAUUUUAUGGUUGAGCCACAAACUUUCACCGCUGACUUAAAAAACAACCUACGCACCCUUUAAACCCAAUAAAUCCGGAUAACGCUCGCAUCCUCCGUAUUACCGCGGCGGCUGGCACC